GUUGAAGUCUGUGAGCCACCUGCAGGGGACAGUGUUGAUGUACAGAGGAGUGAACACGCUGAUCUCAGACCUGUGCUCCUGUGCCUCAUUUUUCUCCUCUUCUGGAUUCUUCUCCUCCGCUCAUCAACUUUCCUGCUUCAGAGAUGAGCUUCUCUUCUUCCUCUACCUCUACCAGCGAAGGCGUUACGCCCACAAGGCCAGGAGACGAGAGUCUGGGACCCACAGCAAGAAACUUAAGACUCAAUGAGGGGAAGACAAAUUCCUUUACUUCCUUUUUUCAGAAAUGAAUGCACAAACACUUAGAAACUCAUCUUUGAAACAACGUUGAAGAUGUGACGUGGAGGCUCAGGCAGGACACCUGACCACGUGCGCCACAGCAACUUUAAACUGAUCCAAGACAAGUUGUUUGGCCUCUAACUCUUCACUGCUGUACACUCGUGAUGCCGCUGCUUUUUGCUCGGCAUCGAUGAAGUCUUCCCCCUUUACUGCUAAAGUGAUUGAACUCAUUCAUCUACGGACUGCUGCACGUUAUGCAAGAAGAAUAUCGACGGCAUCAUAUCACCAGUCGUAAUGUACGUUUGCUCGAUUCUUGUUCUUUAUGCGCACAUAUGGAGGAUGUAGCCUUCAACCCCAAAUAUAGUUCCAUAAUCAUAAAUCAAUAACCAUCUACUGCAACAAGACUUAAACUUUAUGACUGACUCACUCAACUUGACUUUGACAUGGCUGUCUGAAAAGCUUGAACCAUGAUCCUUUUCUUUAAAAAAAGUACUUUUUAAUAUAUUCUUUGUACACAUCCAGCACUAAAUUGAAACUGGGGCAGCCCCCUAAUAAAGGCAUAACAUACCAUAUGAAGCUUUACGCUUACAUAAACUGAAAUUACCCAAGACAGCAUCAUUUUUAGGGUGUCACCAUCACAUCCAAUUAAUAUUAUUCUGCUCAAUUACCCCAACUCAGCGCAAGAUAUUUGGUUUCUUUGGAAACUUUGUGAUCCUGACUAGAAUUGAAUGGUUUCAACAUUGCAUGGCUUUGUGUGUGUGUGUGUGUGUGUGUGUAAUGAUAGACAUGCAGGUGGGGCCCGUAAGGUUGCAAAUAAGCAACAUGUCCUCAGACAGUAAUGAGAAGAUCAGACCAACAACAUAAAGCACUUUUUACUCUUCAUCCAAAUGAAGAAAAUAAAUAAAUGACGCUAGAGUCUGAUCAGUUUAUAUUCCAGAUUAGAGGGUACGUGCUACCUGUUGUGUAGAUUUAAUGUUGGACUUGUAUAUCAAGAUAGUCUAGAAUAUCAUUAGAUGUUUCAUUUUAGUCAUGCUUAAUGUUCACCCUCAUGUAUUACAUAUUAAGUAAGUAGCACCAUCUGUGUACUGUGCAAUUAUUUUAUAAAGACUGACUUUGCAAUGUUAAUGACCACUUACUGCAAAUAACCUGAUGGCAUGUGUCUAUGAAAUCCCUGCAGUAUAGCUAUCAAAGUAUCAGUCUGUUCCCUUUCUCUCAGCAUACAAACGCAUCACAUAGUAUGAAAAACAUUUGUCUACAGAAGGCAUAAACACUGUAAAUGAACUACUUUAUCAAGCUGUUUGUAGUGUUUGUAUUACACUGAUCUCUGCACUAAUUUCUGCUUCUUUGCUGACUGAACUGCUUGAGCUGAAGAAUAAUUUCCAUUUUUUUUUAUUGUUUUGGCAAUGCAACCUGCUUGUUAAUUUUUUUAUAAUAUGAAAUAAAAAACAAUUGGCUUUAAGGGUUUAUGCAAAUUGGAAAAAAACAGUGUCUGUGUGUAUGGAUUGAUGUGCAUGUGUGCCAGUGUUUCUAUCAAGGCAUGCAAUCAGAAGAGAAGUCAACACAGACAGCAGACUGAUAAUAAUGGCAACUGCUUGACUGGUUUCUGUUAAGGAAGUUUCAUAUAUGGAUUGUGUGUGUGUGUUUGUUGUCUUAAUACUUAAGAAAGGAAUACAAAUCCUCACUGUGUCCCAUUAAGAUUUAAGUUUGAUGUCAGGAAAUAAAUGUUGAUGACAGAGAAUCCUAAAAAAAAAAAGGAAAAGUGUGUUGGUGUAUGUGUGCUAGGUGUACAGGGUGUGUGUGCUGUGUGUGUGCUGGUACAUUUCUCUGUUAACACUGAACAGAUGUGGUAUGACAGAUAUGAGGAUGACGUGAGCGCCGUCAGUCAUCUGAGAAUGUUUUCAAGUAAUAAAUCAUUUUAAAAUCCACGUAUUCAUCUAGCUUUUUUUGUAUUCAC
rnacentral:lncRNA from 1 species